CCUACGGGAGGCAGCAGUGGGGAAUAUUGGGCAAUGGGCGCAAGCCUGACCCAGCAACGCCGCGUGAAGGAAGAAGGCUUUCGGGUUGUAAACUUCUUUUCUCAGGGACGAAGAAAGUGACGGUACCUGAGGAAUAAGCCACGGCUAACUACGUGCCAGCAGCCGCGGUAAUACGUAGGUGGCAAGCGUUAUCCGGAUUUAUUGGGUGUAAAGGGCGUGUAGGCGGGAGCGCAAGUCAGAUGUGAAAACUCAGGGCUCAACCCUGAGCCUGCAUUUGAAACUGUGUUUCUUGAGUGCUUGAGAGGCAAUCGGAAUUCCGUGUGUAGCGGUGAAAUUCGUAGAUAUACGGAGGAACACCAGUGGCGAAGGCGGAUUGCUGGACAGUAACUGACGCUGAGGCGCGAAAGCGUGGGGAGCAAACAGGAUUAGAUACCCUAGUAGUC
rnacentral:rRNA from 1 species